AAGAAGACAUAACCAGUUUACUAGAAGAUGGGAGAAUGCAGUAGAUAAGGAGCUAAUAUUACUUCAAUUACACAGAUUUGCAGAUUCUUCAUGCCAGCCUUUUUGGAGAGUCUACUGAAUGAGUAAUGUGUAAGGAUUUUUAGGGAACAUUUUUACAACUGGGUUUUUAUUGUUAAAGUUGACUAAGCUAACAGAGGAUGUUCGCAGUAAGACAGAAAGAACAUUUCUCUAAAGUUACA